GAGCGCGGAAUGCGGGGAAACCUGCACGUUCCGUGUUGAGCAGGGGAAAAGCUGGAGAUGAUUUCAAAGGCUUACCUAUUGCUGA
rnacentral:ncRNA from 1 species